rnacentral:rRNA from 1 species
UACGUAGGGGGCAAGCGUUGUCCGGAUUUAUUGGGCGUAAAGCGCGUGUAGGCGGCCAGAUAGGUCUGCUGUGAAAACUCGAGGCUCAACCUCGAGCUGUCGGCGGAAACCAACUGGCUAGAGUCCGGAAGAGGAGAGUGGAAUUCCUGGUGUAGCGGUGAAAUGCGUAGAGAUCGGAAAGAACACCAACGGCGAAAGCACUCUGCUGGGCCGACACUGACACUGAGAGACGAAAGCUAGGGGAGCGAAUGGG